GGGUUGCGGACAGUGUCUGGUGGGUAGUUUGACUGGGGCGGUCUCCUCCUAAAGAGUAACGGAGGAGCACGAAGGUUGGCUAAUCCUGGUCGGACAUCAGGAGGUUAGUGCAAUGGCAUAAGCCAGCUUGACUGCGAGCGUGACGGCGCGAGCAGGUGCGAAAGCAGGUCAUAGUGAUCCGGUGGUUCUGAAUGGAAGGGCCAUCGCUCAACGGAUAAAAGGUACUCCGGGGAUAACAGGCUGAUACCGCCCAAGAGUUCAUAUCGACGGCGGUGUUUGGCACCUCGAUGUCGGCUCAUCACAUCCUGGGGCUGAAGUAGGUCCCAAGGGUAUGGCUGUUCGCCAUUUAAAGUGGUACGCGAGCUGGGUUUAGAACGUCGUGAGACAGUUCGGUCCCUAUCUGCCGUGGGCGCUGGAGAACUGAGGGGGGCUGCUCCUAGUACGAGAGGACCGGAGUGGACGCAUCACUGGUGUUCGGGUUGUCAUGCCAAUGGCACUGCCCGGUAGCUAAAUGCGGAAGAGAUAAGUGCUGAAAGCAUCUAAGCACGAAACUUGCCCCGAGAUGAGUUCUCCCUGACUCCCUGAGAGUCCUGAAGGAACGUUGAAGACGACGACGUUGAUAGGCCGGGUGUGUAAGCGCAGCGAUGCGUUGAGCUAACCGGUACUAAUGAACCGUGAGG
rnacentral:rRNA from 1 species